UUAAUUUUUAGGUUAUACAAUUUUGCUGAUCAAGAAUCCAAUUUUAAUAACGCAGAGGGCCUCAACAUAUUUGAAUUGCAAAGAAACACAUAACUAGUUUGGACAUUGGUAUCUUUUCUGAAGGGAAAGUGCAUCUAGUUGGAUGCGUUAAACAGGUUGUCAAACCCGUUCCCUUUUGCAACGAGGAAAGACAAACUUCUUUGAAAAAAGAGUAUGCAAUU